rnacentral:lncRNA from 1 species
UUGCAGAGAAAUAAUUGCACCCUGUAUAUGCGCAGUUACUGACUAAAAGCACUAAUAGCAAUAAUUAUAAGAAUGGAUGAACAUUUUUGCUGCCUUCAGCUAUUUAAGAUAAAAGAUAAUACAUGCUUUACUUUAACGCCACUGAUCCCAUGUCCGCCUUUUUGAGCAUGCUAACAUUUUUUUUCCAUCACCGGCCAAUUGCUAGUGUUGCUUUACUUGUUCUCAGUUUCACCAAUCUUGUAACCUGCAUAAUAAAUCUACUUUUAAAUUUAUUUUACUAUAAAAAAAAUAAGAGUUCCCAAAAAGUAGCAAACUCCGGUCCAAAACAUAUUACAUAGAAACUCCUGAGAAAGAUGCAUGCUGAAAUUUGUUAGCUGAAGAAUAUAUCAACAAUGAAUAUAAAAGAAUGAAACCAUACUGUCAACACUAAAUUAAAG